rnacentral:rRNA from 1 species
GACAGUGCCGUAAUCAGAUGAUUCGGCUACUGAAUUGAGAACGAUGAAAGAAUGUUAUCGAAUAUCUAUUGGAGGGCAAGUCUGGUGCCAGCAGCCGCGGUAAUUCCAGCUCGAAGAGCGUCUGUUAAUGUUGCUGCGCUUGAAACGCUCGUCGUUGAAUCUCUGGCAAUUGCCUACGGACACUUCUAUUGUGGUACCGUAGGAAAGUGCCUUUUUGUAUCUAUUCGUCGUAGAUUCACUUAAUUGUGUGUCACGUUCGAGAGCCACUUUCACUUUGGAGAAAUCAGUGUGCUCAUAACAGGCUUAUGCCUGCAUAUAACUGCAUGGGAUGAUGAAACUGGGCCUUUGACUCGUUUCGUUGGUUUACGAUUGCAAAGGCCAUGAUUAAUCGGGACAGACGGGGGCAUUCGUAUUGCGUCGAUAGAAGUGAAAUUCGGUGACCGACGUAAGACGAACAAUCGCGAAAGCAUUUGCCAAGAAUGUUUUCAUUAAUCAAGAACGAAAGUUAGAGUAUCGAAGACGAUUAGAUACCGUCCUAGUUCUAACUGUAAACGAUGCCAACCAGGGUUUCGUCAUAGCUUACAUGCUUGACGAGCACCCUCCGGGAAACCUGAGUAAUCGGGUUCCGGGGGGAGUAUGGUUGCAGAAUCGAAACUUAAAGGAAUUGACGGAAGGGCACACCAGGAGUGGAGCCUGCGGCUUAAUUUGACUCAACGCACGAUAGCCGACUCGGUCCGAACAC